rnacentral:lncRNA from 1 species
UCUAUUCUCUAUAGUUCCCAGAAAACAGAGAACUCCCUCCUUUUAAAAUACUAUCUUUAAGAACAAAAAUAUUGUUCUCUAAGCAUUUCUCCAUCAUGAUUUGAUUAUAACAUACAGGUACUUGACGUGUCUUUCAUUGAUGGUUUACCAACGAAACAAUUGUAAUGGUUCAUGGAAAUAGAGAAAGUGGGGUGAUAAGCCCUUGAGAUCAUAUUUCAGGAAGAGGAAGAGAGGAGCUGAGUUAACAAAAGAUACGGAUAACUUUGGAGAAGUAGAGGCAGCUGAAGAUGAC